GAGGGGAGUGGAAUUCCCGGUGUAGAGGUGAAAUUCGUAGAUAUUGGGAAGAACACCGGUGGCGAAGGCGGCUCACUGGWCCKUUUCUGACGCUGAGRCGCGAAAGCGUGGGGAGCAAACAGGAUUAGAUACCCUGGUAGUCCACGCCCUAAACGAUGAGUGCCAGGUGUGGGG
rnacentral:rRNA from 1 species